CCAACAGGGAUGCCUCAGUAACGGCGAGUGAAGCGGCAACAGCUCAAAUUUGAAAUCUGGCCCCCCGGCCCGAGUUGUAAUUUGCAGAGGAUGCUUCUGGCGCGGUGCCUUUCCAAGUCCCCUGGAACGGGGCGCCAUAGAGGGUGAGAGCCCCGUCCGGUUGGCCGCCAAGCCUGUGUGAAGCUCCUUCGACGAGUCGAGUAGUUUGGGAAUGCUGCUCUAAACGGGAGGUAGACCCCUUCUAAAGCUAAAUACCGGCCAGAGACCGAUAGCGCACAAGUAGAGUGAUCGAAAGAUGAAAAGCACUUUGAAAAGAGGGUUAAACAGUACGUGAAAUUGUUGAAAGGGAAGCGCUUGUGACCAGACGUGCGCCGGGUGUUCAGCGGGCGUUUUCGCCCGUGCAUUCGCCCCGGCGCAGGCCAGCGUCGGUUCGGGCGGGGGGACAAAGGCGCCAGGAACGUAGCUCCCCCGGGAGUGUUAUAGCCUGGCGCGUCAUGCCCCCGCCUGGACCGAGGUUCGCGCUCCGCAAGGACGCUGGCGUAAUGGUCCCCAGCGGCCCGUCUUGAAACACGGACCAAGGAGUCGAGGUUUUACGCGAGUGUCUGGGUGUCAAACCCGCACGCGCAAUGAAAGUGAACGCAGGUGGGAGCUUCGGCGCACCACCGACCGAUCCUGAUGUUCUCGGAUGGAUUUGAGUAGGAGCGUAGGGCCUCGGACCCGAAAGAUGGUGAACUAUACUUGGAUAGGGUGAAAGCCAGAGGAAACUCUGGUGGAGGCUCGCAGCGGUUCUGACGUGCAAAUCGAUCGUCAAAUCUGAGUAUGGGGGGCGAAAGACUAAUCGAACCAU
rnacentral:rRNA from 1 species